rnacentral:rRNA from 1 species
UAAUACAUAAGUAACCUGCCCUAGACAGGGGGAUAACUAUUGGAAACGAUAGCUAAGACCGCAUAGGUAUGGACACUGCAUGGUGACCGUAUUAAAAGUGCCUCAAAGCACUGGUAGAGGAUGGACUUAUGGCGCAUUAGCUGGUUGGCGGGGUAACGGCCCACCAAGGCGACGAUGCGUAGCCGACCUGAGAGGGUGACCGGCCACACUGGGACUGAGACACGGCCCAG